AAAGAACGAGAUAAAAACAUAAUUUAAAUUUGAACACUGUAGAUAAGUACAGUACAAUAAGCAUAUAGGCCUAUUCAACUCGUAUUCUGUUACAGUGUCUAGGAAACAAUACUUUACUCGACGUCAACCGACUGUUACUUGAACGUAAAGAUGAAGAAUAUCCUCUUGAUGAUGAUAAUUCUCUCUGCUUUCUUCUUAAAUGGGGUGGAGUUGGACAGAAAUAGCUGCAGACAUUUAAAACGAUGCGGAAAAUAUGGAUACUACAUAAACUGUUCGAAGUGCUGCAGAGAAUUCGGCCACAAUGGAGGAUAUUGCACUAUGUUCAAGUGUAUAUGCAGAACAUCACCUUGCUAGCUAAUUAAAACAUGAAAGCUGUGAGUUAUUUACGAAGUGAGAAAUAAAGAUUUAGAAAUUUCCGAAAA
rnacentral:lncRNA from 1 species